AUGCUUCGAAAGCCCCUGAAGUCCUCUAAGAUACAUUUAAAGGGUCAUCGGCGGGGAAAGGAGAGGGGAGUAAAGAAUAUUAAAGAGGUGGGUCCAGAUGAUCUCUUCGUUCCACAUAAACAUUUUUUAAUGAUGGCGAUUUAUAACGUCCCUGACAUCCCGUACUGCACCUUUGGGCACGUGGGUGCCCGCUCGUGUCUCCGCUCUGUGGCCCAGGCUAGAGAACAAUGGCGAGAUCUUGGCUCAUUGCAACCUCCGCCUCCCAGGUUCAAGCAAUCACCUGCCUCAGCCUCCUGAGUAGCUGGGACUACAGAUUUGAUGAAAGCUAAAUUAGAAGAGUUCUUAUGGGAGAGCAUAUGUUUAAAAUGAUGUCCAAAACUCCCUGAAAAAAGGUGAAGACACCGAAAAGAAGUCUCUGAACAUAUUUUAAUCUUUUGUUCCUCUUCCUUUUAUAAUUCCAAGUCAUAUCAGGAUCUUUUGUUUUGUUUUCUUUUUGAGACAGGGUCAUACUCUGUCACCCAGGCUGGAGUUCAGUGACUCAAUCAUGGAUCACUGCAGCCUCAACCUCACUGGGCUCAGGUGAUCCUCCCACCUCAGCCUCCUGAGUAGAUGGGACUACAGGCACACACCACCGUGCCUGGACCACUGUGCCUGACGAGGUUUUGAUUUUGUUAUAGAGAUUGGGUUUCGCCAUGUUCCCCAAGCUUGUCUCAAACUCCUGGACUCAAGUAAUCUGCUACUUUACCCUCCCAAUGUUCUGAGAUUAUAGAUGUGAAGCCACUGUGCCCAGCCUACACCAGGAACUUUAAUGUCUUACAGACAUAUUAGGAACGUCAUACAUGGAAAUUUUGGCUAAUAGAGAGUCUCAUUUAAUUGAGUGUCACCAGAGAGGGCUCUGUGUAGUAUAACCAAACUCCUAACUGGCCAUCAGUUAUCAGGCUGUUGAGAGUAACUAAUGCUCUCCAGUUCUCUGUAAAACUCUUUGCAGCAGGUCGAGUAGCAUAUGUCCAGUAAUUAUUUGUGUUUCUGCCCAAGUAUCUCUGUACAAAUUAUACUUGUUACUGUAAUUAUACAAUUUGAUGAAAUGUGUGGUUUGGUAGCUUUAUGAGGGGGAAAGAAAAGGAUUAUUUCUAUGAAAACUAAGUUGAAUGCUUGGAAAAUUACAUAUAAAUUUCCCAUAAAUUUUGCUUUUGGAUUAGGUGUGGGGAAGCCAAUUGUAACUGGGAAUCUGUUAAGAUACUGCUAGCAGAUUGCUUUGGAAGGAUCUUUAAAAGAUAGUGUAUUUUGGCCGGGCAUGGUGGCUCAUACCUCUA
rnacentral:lncRNA from 13 species